rnacentral:sRNA from 1 species
GCUGGGCAUGGUGGUGCAUUCUUGUAAUUCCAGCAGCUCAGGAGGCUGAGACAGGAGGAUUACAAGUUCAAAGCCAGCCUCAGCAACCUAGCAAGGCUCUAAGCAGCUUAUUGAGACCCUGUCUCAA